rnacentral:rRNA from 1 species
GACGAACGCUGGCGGCGUGCUUAACACAUGCAAGUCGAACGGAAAGGCCCUGCUUUUGGGGGGUGCUCGAGUGGCGAACGGGUGAGUAACACGUGAGUAACCUGCCCUUGACUUUGGGAUAACUUCAGGAAACUGGGGCUAAUACCGGAUAGGAGCUCCUGCUGCAUGGUGGGGGUUGGAAAGUUUCGGCGGUUGGGGAUGGACUCGCGGCUUAUCAGCUUGUUGGUGGGGUAGUGGCUUACCAAGGCUUUGACGGGUAGCCGGCCUGAGAGGGUGACCGGCCACAUUGGGACGGAGAUGCGGCCCAGACUCCUACGGGAGGCAGCAGUGGGGAAUAUUGCACAGUGGGCGGAAGCCUGAUGCAGCAACGCCGCGUGCGGGAUGACGGCCUUCGGGUUGUAAACCGCUUUCGCCUGUGACGAAGCGUGAGUGACGGUAAUGGGUAAAGAAGCACCGGCUAACUACGUG